AACGAACGCUGGCGGCAUGCCUAACACAUGCAAGUCGAACGAGACCUUCGGGUCUAGUGGCGCACGGGUGCGUAACGCGUGGGAACCUGCCCUUAGGUUCGGAAUAACUCCCCGAAAGGUGUGCUAAUACCGGAUAAUGUCUUCGGACCAAAGAUUUAUCGCCUUUGGAUGGGCCCGCGUUGGAUUAGCUAGUUGGUAGGGUAAAAGCCUACCAAGGCGACGAUCCAUAGCUGGUCUGAGAGGAUGAUCAGCCACACUGGGACUGAGACACGGCCCAGACUCCUACGGGAGGCAGCAGUGGGGAAUAUUGGACAAUGGGCGAAAGCCUGAUCCAGCAAUGCCGCGUGAGUGAUGAAGGCCUUAGGGUUGUAAAGCUCUUUUACCCGGGAUGAUAAUGACAGUACCGGGAGAAUAAGCUCCGGCUAACUCCGU
rnacentral:rRNA from 1 species